UAGCUAGUUGGCGGGAUAAAGAGCCCACCAAGGCGAUGCCUAGGUAGCUGGUCUAAGAGGAUGAACAGCCACAAUGGGAUUGAGAUACGGCCCAUAUUCCUACGGGAAGCAGCAGUAGGGAAUCUUCCACAAUGGGCGAAAGCCUGAUGGAGCAAUGCCAUGUGAAUGAUGAAGGCCAGACAGGUCGUAAAGUUCUUUUAGAGGGGAAAAAUUUGAUGGUACCCUCUGAAUAAGUGACAGCAAACUAUGUGCCAGCAGCUGCGGUAAUACAUAGGUCGCGAGCGUUAUUCGGAUUUAUUGGGCGUAAAGCAAGCGCAGGCGGGAUGAAUAAGUUCUGCAUUAAAAGCAGCUG
rnacentral:rRNA from 1 species